UUGAUUUGUUACUUUUUGUAUAUUUUUGUUAAUUUUUAUAAUAUUCAGAGUAGCAAUUUAUUAUGCCAAGAUUUUCUUUUUCUCAAGUCAGGGACACCUCCCAAAGAUGCAUAUAGAGUCUGAAUAAAAUAGUAGCCAUUGUCUUAUUUGAUCAAGUUGCUGAAUGCUUUUACAGAUGGAACAUUCGGAAGGAACGGUAAUGCAAAUAGGGGCUCUUUCUCAAGGCAUAAACAAUCUCACGAAUAUGCUAAGCCAAGAUGAAAUGCUGAAUGACAAUAGAUUUUUAACACCCACCUUUGAAGACUGGAGAUGAUGCUUCAGCAUGAUCAAGAACACUAAUACCUCACACACACAUCCAGAUAAGUGGCCAAGGAAACUGGGUGCUAUAUGGCAGAAGAUAGCGUAUGCUUUUCUGCAAAUGAGAUAAACUUUAUAUGUCGUUAAUACAGCAACACGUUACAGGUAAAGAAAAAUACACUGGGUACCCUAAUAAGUAUUUUUACCUAGAUGUUAAAAAAAAAAAAAACUAUGCAAAAUUAUUUCUCAUCCAGAGCUGAGAAACAAGACCAGUAAAAGAUGUCUUUGCAGAUAUAUGGUGAAUUUGUGCACAGCUGCAAGCAAACUUUUAUAAUUUUGUACUUUUAUAAUUACUUCCACAUAGGGAUUAAUGCCAGUAGAUUGGCACCAUAGCCACAGGUUCAGAGUCUUCCUGAGUUAAGUAAAAGCAAUGAGGACAAGCCUUUAAUAAUUCCAACUGCUCCUUUUCUCCUUGACCAAAUGGUGCAGCAGGUGCUAUCUUGGGGUCUGGCAGACAGCUACAAUGUUUACAGAACUGUUGCUGUAUAGACAGGGCUAGUUUAGGAGCUUGAGAGUCUCCAGAGAAAUUGUCAGUGGGGGAGCAGAAACUUUGUUCCCUCCUCUUGUACCUCCAUUUGUCUCCGCUUUCUCUGUCCUGCUUAUAACAUUGGGAUGGAGAGAGAAGACAGAUAAGCUUUCACACCUUGUGAAUAGCCAGUAGCGGAAGUGGGAUGAUGUAGUGGGCAUGUUCCCAGAAUAGGCCAGGAAGGAACACAUUAAUCCUUACUAUGCUUUUUCUCUCUCUGCCUAAAACCAGCAACAAUUAGAAGGACAAUUUAAGACUCUCAGGAAAGAUGAGGGACUCAAAAGGCUACUUUGCUUAGUUUUGCUUGAUGCUUACUAUAAACACUGAGUGUGCUCAGUCAGGGAACAGACCUAACACCCAGCAAAGACAGCCUGCAUGUUGACUUUCUCCGACCCGGGUUCAACACUCCCCCUGCAGUUGCUUUGAAGUGCGUGCAAUGGAACUGGCAGCACAGCACAGGGUUUGUUGCAAGUGACAACAGUUCCUUGUACAAAUGGAAGGUUUUAGGAAGUUCUACUGUAUAUAGCCUUCUCCUAUAAAUAGCAAAAUGUAAGGAAGUACUAAUGGGCCAGUGGGCUCUGAACAUUUUGAACUUGCCUGAACUGAGAGUCAGAAUGGCAUACAGAAUGGAGUUCCCAGAACUCAGAACAAGCAAUUGGAGGUGAUCAGCUGUGAGCCCUUUACCAGCCACUUCCCUUCUGUCACUGAAUUACUUUCAUGCUACUGUAAGUAAUUAAAUGUAUAUGAACUUUGGAUAGUCUCAUAACAGAGAUUUGGUCAGAAACAAGCUGUGAUGUUUGCAUGAGAACCCGGUGAUUCUUUUUGUAAACCUUAUGCUGUGUUUUGUUUUAUUUUGUUUCUGCUUCUGUUUGCUCGCUCCCUUCAUUUCAGAUUCAUAUGUAUGCUUUCAUACAACGCUACCUUAAUAUAACAGCAGCAAACAAGUCAGUGCAUGCGUAAUGUGCAAAGGGUGACUAACACAGCAAAACUAGUGUUUGUAAAGUUUUUUGUUUAAAAAUUCUCAUGCUGAUCAAAUCAGUUCUUUAUGGCAACUCCAUAUUUGUUAUCAGAAUAUCAGGGGUAUAUUUUUGUAAACUGGGAAAUUAACCCAGUUUUAAAACAAAGGGAGUUGGUAUUGAAAUGCAUAAAGGGCUUGAGCUAUUUUUUCAAGGGUGGUUCUCUCUCUUGUUUGCAAGAUGGUUUCAUUGUGUGUUACAAGGUGCCUAGAGCAGUGGUUCUCAAAGUUUUUAGAUUCAAGGCACCACAGCACAACUUCUGUGAACUGACUGGCAUCCUAUUUCAAAACUAAAUUUUAGUGCUUGCCUCCUUGCAGAGGGACUAGGCAGUAGAGGUUGGGGAGUGCUGAGCCUGCAAUUAUCUUAUUGCUUAUCCCCUCACACCUUGCAACAGCCUUCAAAGGAUCUUAUGGCACCUCAGAGUACCUGGUUGAGAAUCAGCGAUCUAGAUUACAACAGAUAAUUUAGCCAGCGGGCAUGUCAGUGCCAGGCAUGAUCCUGUCCACUAAGCAGCAUAUCUGGAGUGUAUUAUAUUAGGUACUGUUCAAAGUGAGUAAGAGGUAUUUCUUACUCCUUAACUAACCACACAGAUUUUACUGAGAGCACUUGAAGAGUCCUUACUGAACAUAUUCCCAUUUGUGACUCUAAAGCCAAUGGGAACCUAAGUGACUUUUUAUGAAGUCUCGUUUGCCACUUCACCUCAGAAAGCUUUUGUAUAGGAAUUAAAGCAGCUAUUUUCCAUCAUGUCUAUUGCUGUAUAAAGGAUACGGUGAAAUUGUUUAAUUUAUAUACUUGACAAAGACUGGGAUUUCCAUGGGAAAGUCCCAUUGGAGUCAGUGGGAUCAGUUACACCUCCACUCAGUGCUUUCGAAAGGCAAGGAGUGUUAAUUAUCAGCACAGCGGACACUAAGCAUCUGAAAUGUUCAGUGAUGAAUUAACCCACAAAUGCAGGAAUGGUGACUCAAGUGACACCAUUACCAGUACAAGAGAGGAAAGCAGUGUUACAUUGCUGGCAUAUUUCCAGGAGGCCUGACUGGAUUUUUUUUUAAUGUAACACUUUAAA